rnacentral:lncRNA from 1 species
CUUUAUCAUAAGUGUCCUAAAUAAUGAAAGAACAAUUCUUCAAGAGAAAAGGAGUGGUCAGCCCCUUUACCCUCCUGUCAAGGAAAAUUAAGCCUGAAGGUCAUACUAUUGGAUGCUUAAAGGCCCUGCCGAUUCAUCACAAGACAGUUUCCACAAACUGAUGGGAGAGAGACACUUGCAAGGCUUAGGUUAUCGCAGGAGUGGGACUGGUGACUAAAGAGGAAAUGAGACCUAAGCUAGCCUCCUUGCCAUGUGAUACUCUGCACCACCUUGAGACUCUGCAGAGAGUACCCACCAACAAGGAAGCUCUCACCAGAUGCGCCCCCUUGACCUUGGACUUCUCCACCUCCAGAACAGUACAAAAUAAAUUUCAUUUCUCA